UACGAAGGGGGCUAGCGUUGUUCGGAAUUACUGGGCGUAAAGCGUGCGCAGGCGGCUUCUCAAGUCAGGGGGUGAAAGCCCAGAGCUCAACUCUGGAAUUGCCUUUGAGACUGAGUGGCUUGAGUACGAGAGAGGUGAGUGGAAUGCCGAGUGUAGAGGUGAAAUUCGUAGAUAUUCGGCGGAACACCAGUGGCGAAGGCGGCUCUCUGGACCAGCACUGACACUGAGGCACGAAAGCGUGGGGAGCAAACAGGG
rnacentral:rRNA from 1 species